rnacentral:rRNA from 1 species
AUACGUAGGUGGCAAGCGUUGUCCGGAAUUAUUGGGCGUAAAGCGCGCGCAGGUGGUUCCUUAAGUCUGAUGUGAAAGCCCCCGGCUCAACCGGGGAGGGUCAUUGGAAACUGGGGAACUUGAGUGCAGAAGAGGAUAGUGGAAUUCCAAGUGUAGCGGUGAAAUGCGUAGAGAUUUGGAGGAGCACCAGUGGCGAAGGCGACUGUCUGGUCUGUAACUGACACUGAGGCGCAAAAGCGUGGGGAGCAAACAGGAUUAGAUACCCUGGUAGUCCACGCCGUAAACGAUGAGUGCUAAGUGUUGGGGGGUUUCCGCCCCUCAGUGCUGCAGCUAACGCAUUAAGCACUCCGCCUGGGGAGUACGGUCGCAAGACUGAAACUCAAAUGAAUUGACGGGG